UGCGUAGGGUGCAAGCGCUAAUCGGAAUUACUGGGCGUAAAGCGUGCGCAGGCGGUUUUGUAAGUCUGUCGUGAAAUCCCCGGGCUUAACCUGGGAAUUGCGAUGGAGACUGCAAGGCUGGAGUUUGGCAGAGGGGGGUAGAAUUCCACGUGUAGCAGUGAAAUGCGUAGAGAUGUGGAGGAACACCGAUGGCGAAGGCAGCCCCCUGGGUCAAAACUGACGCUCAUGCACGAAAGCGUGGGGAGCAAACAGG
rnacentral:rRNA from 1 species